UACGAAGGGGGCUAGCGUUGCUCGGAAUUACUGGGCGUAAAGGGCGCGUAGGCGGAUAGUUUAGUCAGAGGUGAAAGCCCAGGGCUCAACCUCGGGCCUGCAGUGGGUACGGGCAGACUAGAGUGCGGUAGGGGAGAUUGGAAUUCCUGGUGUAGCGGUGGAAUGCGCAGAUAUCAGGAGGAACACCGAUGGCGAAGGCAGAUCUCUGGGCCGUAACUGACGCUGAGGAGCGAAAGCAUGGGGAGCGAACAGG
rnacentral:rRNA from 1 species